UGUACAUUUCUUUACCAGGUGUGAGCCGUGUGGGUGUACAUUUCUUUACCAGGUGUGAGCCGUGUGGGUGUACAUUUCUUUACCAGGUGUGAGCCGUGUGGGUGUACAUUUCUUUACCAGGUGUGAGCCGUGUGGGUGUACAUUUCUUUACCAGGUGUGAGCCGUGUGGGUGUACAUUUCUUUACCAGGUGUGAGCCGUGUGGGUGUACAUUUCUUUACCAGGUGUGAGCCGUGUGGGUGUACAUUUCUUUACCAGGUGUGAGCCGUGUGGGUGUACAUUUCUUUACCAGGUGUGAGCCGUGUGGGUGUACAUUUCUUUACCAGGUGUGAGCCGUGUGGGUGUACAUUUCUUUACCAGGUGUGAGCCGUGUGGGUGUACAUUUCUUUACCAGGUGUGAGCCGUGUGGGUGUACAUUUCUUUACCAGGUGUGAGCCGUGUGGGUGUACAUUUCUUUACCAGGUGUGAGCUGUACAUUACUUUACCAGGUGUGAGCUGUGUGGGUGUAUAUUUCUUUACCAGGUGUGAGCUGUGUGGGUGUACAUUUCUUUACCA